CUUUGAAUCCAUUGAUUGAUCAAUUGAUAAUGGCAACACAGCAACGUAUCUCAAGGUGGCAGAAUCGCAAAGUUGGAAUUGUUGCAAAGAGGCAAUGCGUUGAGGUUACACUCAAAGGUUUGGCAAAUGUAGUACAAUCAAAGUCUUGAGCUCUAUACGGUCUACCCAUGCUACCCGGGAUUUUAGCUAUAGCAGACCUACCCAGGUUGCUAAAUCAGUUCAGUGCUAUUAUUAUGGAGAUCCGCAUAGUGGAACAAACCUGCAAAGUGGGAAGAUUCUCCCCUCACUCUGCCUGUGGCACUUUGCGAAACGCUGUGCAAUAAUCAAAGGAUGUGUGGCCCAAUGGAUAAGGCGCCUGCCUACGGAGCAGGAGAUUCCAGGUUCGAUCCCUGGCACGUUCAGUAAAUGGAUGCAAGGAAGCUCUGUUUUCAGACGUCGUAGCUGCAGUCACGUCUCUUGCCAUCGGUGUCUUUUCUUUGAAUCCAUUGAUUGAUCAAUUGAUAAUGGCAACACAGCAACGUAUCUCAAGGUGGCAGAAUCGCAAAGUUGGAAUUGUUGCAAAGAGGCAAUGCGUUGAGGUUACACUCAAAGGUAUCCCCGGGAUCUCUUAAGCGAUGACUAAGCGCGGUCUUUUGUACAACACUUCUCCCUGCUGCAAUGACUGAAGCCAACCCUUCUAUUUCUUGCAAUUACCCAGGUUUGGCAAAUGUAGUACAAUCAAAGUCUUGAGCUCUAUACGGUCUACCCAUGCUACCCGGGAUUUUAGCUAUAGCAGACCUACCCAGGUUGCUAAAUCAGUUCAGUGCUAUUAUUAUGGAGAUCCGCAUAGUGGAACAAACCUGCAAAGUGGGAAGAUUCUCCCCUCACUCUGCCUGUGGCACUUUGCGAAACGCUGUGCAAUAAUCAAAGGAUGUGUGGCCCAAUGGAUAAGGCGCCUGCCUACGGAGCAGGAGAUUCCAGGUUCGAUCCCUGGCACGUUCAGUAAAUGGAUGCAAGGAAGCUCUGUUUUCAGACGUCGUAGCUGCAGUCACGUCUCUUGCCAUCGGUGUCUUUUCUUUGAAUCCAUUGAUUGAUCAAUUGAUAAUGGCAACACAGCAACGUAUCUCAAGGUGGCAGAAUCGCAAAGUUGGAAUUGUUGCAAAGAGGCAAUGCGUUGAGGUUACACUCAAAGGUAUCCCCGGGAUCUCUUAAGCGAUGACUAAGCGCGGUCUUUUGUACAACACUUCUCCCUGCUGCAAUGACUGAAGCCAACCCUUCUAUUUCUUGCAAUUACCCAGGUUUGGCAAAUGUAGUACAAUCAAAGUCUUGAGCUCUAUACGGUCUACCCAUGCUACCCGGGAUUUUAGCUAUAGCAGACCUACCCAGGUUGCUAAAUCAGUUCAGUGCUAUUAUUAUGGAGAUCCGCAUAGUGGAACAAACCUGCAAAGUGGGAAGAUUCUCCCCUCACUCUGCCUGUGGCACUUUGCGAAACGCUGUGCAAUAAUCAAAGGAUGUGUGGCCCAAUGGAUAAGGCGCCUGCCUACGGAGCAGGAGAUUCCAGGUUCGAUCCCUGGCACGUUCAGUAAAUGGAUGCAAGGAAGCUCUGUUUUCAGACGUCGUAGCUGCAGUCACGUCUCUUGCCAUCGGUGUCUUUUCUUUGAAUCCAUUGAUUGAUCAAUUGAUAAUGGCAACACAGCAACGUAUCUCAAGGUGGCAGAAUCGCAAAGUUGGAAUUGUUGCAAAGAGGCAAUGCGUUGAGGUUACACUCAAAGGUAUCCCCGGGAUCUCUUAAGCGAUGACUAAGCGCGGUCUUUUGUACAACACUUCUCCCUGCUGCAAUGACUGAAGCCAACCCUUCUAUUUCUUGCAAUUACCCAGGUUUGGCAAAUGUAGUACAAUCAAAGUCUUGAGCUCUAUACGGUCUACCCAUGCUACCCGGGAUUUUAGCUAUAGCAGACCUACCCAGGUUGCUAAAUCAGUUCAGUGCUAUUAUUAUGGAGAUCCGCAUAGUGGAACAAACCUGCAAAGUGGGAAGAUUCUCCCCUCACUCUGCCUGUGGCACUUUGCGAAACGCUGUGCAAUAAUCAAAGGAUGUGUGGCCCAAUGGAUAAGGCGCCUGCCUACGGAGCAGGAGAUUCCAGGUUCGAUCCCUGGCACGUUCAGUAAAUGGAUGCAAGGAAGCUCUGUUUUCAGACGUCGUAGCUGCAGUCACGUCUCUUGCCAUCGGUGUCUUUUCUUUGAAUCCAUUGAUUGAUCAAUUGAUAAUGGCAACACAGCAACGUAUCUCAAGGUGGCAGAAUCGCAAAGUUGGAAUUGUUGCAAAGAGGCAAUGCGUUGAGGUUACACUCAAAGGUAUCCCCGGGAUCUCUUAAGCGAUGACUAAGCGCGGUCUUUUGUACAACACUUCUCCCUGCUGCAAUGACUGAAGCCAACCCUUCUAUUUCUUGCAAUUACCCAGGUUUGGCAAAUGUAGUACAAUCAAAGUCUUGAGCUCUAUACGGUCUACCCAUGCUACCCGGGAUUUUAGCUAUAGCAGACCUACCCAGGUUGCUAAAUCAGUUCAGUGCUAUUAUUAUGGAGAUCCGCAUAGUGGAACAAACCUGCAAAGUGGGAAGAUUCUCCCCUCACUCUGCCUGUGGCACUUUGCGAAACGCUGUGCAAUAAUCAAAGGAUGUGUGGCCCAAUGGAUAAGGCGCCUGCCUACGGAGCAGGAGAUUCCAGGUUCGAUCCCUGGCACGUUCAGUAAAUGGAUGCAAGGAAGCUCUGUUUUCAGACGUCGUAGCUGCAGUCACGUCUCUUGCCAUCGGUGUCUUUUCUUUGAAUCCAUUGAUUGAUCAAUUGAUAAUGGCAACACAGCAACGUAUCUCAAGGUGGCAGAAUCGCAAAGUUGGAAUUGUUGCAAAGAGGCAAUGCGUUGAGGUUACACUCAAAGGUUUGGCAAAUGUAGUACAAUCAAAGUCUUGAGCUCUAUACGGUCUACCCAUGCUACCCGGGAUUUUAGCUAUAGCAGACCUACCCAGGUUGCUAAAUCAGUUCAGUGCUAUUAUUAUGGAGAUCCGCAUAGUGGAACAAACCUGCAAAGUGGGAAGAUUCUCCCCUCACUCUGCCUGUGGCACUUUGCGAAACGCUGUGCAAUAAUCAAAGGAUGUGUGGCCCAAUGGAUAAGGCGCCUGCCUACGGAGCAGGAGAUUCCAGGUUCGAUCCCUGGCACGUUCAGUAAAUGGAUGCAAGGAAGCUCUGUUUUCAGACGUCGUAGCUGCAGUCACGUCUCUUGCCAUCGGUGUCUUUUCUUUGAAUCCAUUGAUUGAUCAAUUGAUAAUGGCAACACAGCAACGUAUCUCAAGGUGGCAGAAUCGCAAAGUUGGAAUUGU